rnacentral:misc_RNA from 1 species
GAUGAAGAACGUAGCGAAAUGCGAUACGUAAUGUGAAUUGCAGAAUUCAGUGAAUCAUCGAAUCUUUGAACGCAUAUUGCGCUCUCUGGUAUUCCGGAGAGCAUGCUUGUUUGAGUAUCAGUAAACACCUCAACUCCCUUUUCUUUUUUGAAAUUGGAGCUGGACUUGAGUGAUCCCAACGCUUUCUUCCAAGAAAGUGGCGGGUUGCUUGAAAUGCAGGUGCAGCUGAACUUUUCUCUGAGCUAUAAGCAUAUCUAUUUAGUCUGCCUAAAAAACAGAUAUUACCUUUGCUGCAGCUAACAUAAAGGAGACUAGUUCUUGUGCUGACUGAUGCAGGAUUCACAGAGACAGCUUCGGCUGACUUUGUAAACUCGAUCUCAAAUCAAGUAAGACUACCCGCUGAACUUAAGCAUAUCAAUAAGCGGAGGA